GCUCGUGUCGUGAGAUGUUGGGUUAAGUCCCGCAACGAGCGCAACCCUUGACCUUAGUUGCCAGCAUUGAGUUGGGCACUCUAAGGUGACUGCCGGUGACAAACCGGAGGAAGGUGGGGAUGACGUCAAAUCAUCAUGCCCCUUAUGACCUGGGCUACACACGUGCUACAAUGGAUGGUACAAAGGGCUGCGAGACCGCGAGGUUAAGCCAAUCCCAGAAAACCAUUCCCAGUUCGGAUUGCAGGCUGCAACCCGCCUGCAUGAAGCCGGAAUCGCUAGUAAUCGCGGAUCAGCAUGCCGCGGUGAAUACGUUCCCGGGC
rnacentral:rRNA from 1 species